GGGGGGUGUGUGGGUUGGGGUGUGUUGUGGAGCAACCAGAAUAUCUUACAAAAAUCUUACUCUACAAUUUUGCUCUGUUUUCUGCUUGAAUAUCAAAGUUUGGCAUGAGUGUUCAGUUAAAAUAAAAUAAUAAAAACAUUUAAAAAAAAAAUAUUCUUAAAAUUCAGAUUAGCAAAGCAAUUUCCACAAGAAAUUACCUAAAUUAUUCCAAAUUGAAAAAAAGGAUGAAUAAAAAGAAAGCAACAUGAUUUUACCUGUAAUAUCUACCAUAAUC
rnacentral:misc_RNA from 1 species